GAUGAACGCUAGCGGCAGGCCUAACACAUGCAAGUCGAGGGGCAGCACAGAAACAGCAAUGUUUUGGUGGCGACCGGCGGAUGGGUGCGUAACGCGUAUGCAACCUACCUUUAACAGGGGGAUAACGGAGAGAAAUUUCCACUAAUACCCCAUAACAUCGAUCAAGGCAUCUUGAUUGGUUGAAAACUCAGGUGGUUAAAGAUGGGCAUGCGUUGUAUUAGGUAGUUGGUGAGGUAAUGGCUCACCAAGCCUACGAUACAUAGGGGGACUGAGAGGUUAGCCCCCCACACUGGUACUGGGACACGGACCAGACUCCUACGGGAGGCAGCAGUGAGGAAGAUUGGUCAAUGGGGGCAACCCUGAACCAGCCAUGCCGCGUGCAGGAAGACGGCUCUAUGAGUUGUAAACUGCUUUUAAACAGGGAUAAAGCACAGUAUGUAUACUGUGUUGAAGGUACUGUAAGAAUAAGGAUCGGCUAACUCCGUGCCAGCCGCCGCCGUAA
rnacentral:rRNA from 1 species